UACGUAGGGUGCAAGCGUUAAUCGGAAUUACUGGGCGUAAAGCGUGCGCAGGCGGUUAUGUAAGACAGAUGUGAAAUCCCCGGGCUCAACCUGGGAACUGCAUUUGUGACUGCAUAGCUAGAGUACGGUAGAGGGGGAUGGAAUUCCGCGUGUAGCAGUGAAAUGCGUAGAUAUCUGGAGGAACACCGGUGGCGAAGGCGGCAUCCUGGACCGAUACUGACGCUGAGGAGCGAAAGCCAGGGGAGCAAACGGG
rnacentral:rRNA from 1 species